CUCACGAUGAGUGUAGCUGUUUUCUCUUCUGAGGCUGACAGGAAGGCAGUAGCAGCAUGUUUUCAAGAGAUGCCACCAGUACUUGAAUUCUAUGAGUUGGCCAGCAACAAAGAAAGUGGCUUGAAAGAGCAAGAAGUGAGUAGUGACACCCAAGGUGGGCGAGUGGAAUAUAAAAGCAUUCUCCAGGGUUCUUAGUAAAAUUAAGGAAGCGGAAUGUGAAAGGAGGCAUGCAUGACUGCAGUCAUGCAGGAUGGAGAGCUGAAUGAUUUUUAUUUGGAAAUUAAAGAAAAGGCCAAUUCAAAAGUCCUGAAAACUUGAGGACCCUCAGGACAGAUAAAUGUGCACAUUGAGGUGGCUGGAAGAUGGCCAAAUAGGAACGGCUCCGGUCUGCAGCUCCCAGUGAGAUCAAUGCACAGAAGAUAUGAGGUUUAAGACCAGAAAGACUGACUCCAGAGCCCAGGCUCUCAACCAUCAUACCAACUGGCCUCCUUUUGUUGAAGGCUGAGGACCAUAUGGCAAGCAUGAAGACAAUAUGAUUGGCACCUUGGUUCUGUUUGAAUCGUCCUCAUAUUACAAAUCUCCACUCUGAUUUACUUUGUGUAUUAUUAAACACGCACCAUAUAUUGUUUUUUGCUGG
rnacentral:lncRNA from 1 species